ensembl:snRNA U4 U4 spliceosomal RNA
AGCUUUGCUCAGUGCCAGUAUCAGAGCUGAUGAGUUUUACCUGAGAUGAGAGUAUUGCUAAUUGAAAACUUUUCCCAAUACCGCACCGUGAUAACAUGCAAUAGAGUUGGCAUUGACAAUUUUUGACAGUCUCUAGGGAGA